rnacentral:tRNA from 1 species
GUGGAGAUGGCUCAGUGGUUAAGAGCAUAGGCUGCUAUCCCUGAGGACCCAGGUUCAAUUCCUAGUAUCAACA